UGGCUCAGAUUGAACGCUGGCGGCAGGCCUAACACAUGCAAGUCGAGCGGUAGCACAGAGAGCUUGCUCUCGGGUGACGAGCGGCGGACGGGUGAGUAAUGUCUGGGAAACUGCCUGAUGGAGGGGGAUAACUACUGGAAACGGUAGCUAAUACCGCAUAAUGUCGCAAGACCAAAGUGGGGGACCUUCGGGCCUCAUGCCAUCAGAUGUGCCCAGAUGGGAUUAGCUAGUAGGUGGGGUAAUGGCUCACCUAGGCGACGAUCCCUAGCUGGUCUGAGAGGAUGACCAGCCACACUGGAACUGAGACACGGUCCAGACUCCUACGGGAGGCAGCAGUGGGGAAUAUUGCACAAUGGGCGCAAGCCUGAUGCAGCCAUGCCGCGUGUGUGAAGAAGGCCUUCGGGUUGUAAAGCACUUUCAGCGGGGAGGAAGGCGGUGAGGUUAAUAACCUCAUCGAUUGACGUUACCCGCAGAAGAAGCACCGGCUAACUCCGUGCCAGCAGCCGCGGUAAUACGGAGGGUGCAAGCGUUAAUCGGAAUUACUGGGCGUAAAGCGCACGCAGGCGGUCUGUCAAGUCGGAUGUGAAAUCCCCGGGCUCAACCUGGGAACUGCAUUCGAAACUGGCAGGCUAGAGUCUUGUAGAGGGGGGUAGAAUUCCAGGUGUAGCGGUGAAAUGCGUAGAGAUCUGGAGGAAUACCGGUGGCGAAGGCGGCCCCCUGGACAAAGACUGACGCUCAGGUGCGAAAGCGUGGGGAGCAAACAGGAUUAGAUACCCUGGUAGUCCACGCCGUAAACGAUGUCGAUUUGGAGGUUGUGCCCUUGAGGCGUGGCUUCCGGAGCUAACGCGUUAAAUCGACCGCCUGGGGAGUACGGCCGCAAGGUUAAAACUCAAAUGAAUUGACGGGGGCCCGCACAAGCGGUGGAGCAUGUGGUUUAAUUCGAUGCAACGCGAAGAACCUUACCUGGUCUUGACAUCCACAGAACUUAGCAGAGAUGCUUUGGUGCCUUCGGGAACUGUGAGACAGGUGCUGCAUGGCUGUCGUCAGCUCGUGUUGUGAAAUGUUGGGUUAAGUCCCGCAACGAGCGCAACCCUUAUCCUUUGUUGCCAGCGGUCCGGCCGGGAACUCAAAGGAGACUGCCAGUGAUAAACUGGAGGAAGGUGGGGAUGACGUCAAGUCAUCAUGGCCCUUACGACCAGGGCUACACACGUGCUACAAUGGCAUAUACAAAGAGAAGCGACCUCGCGAGAGCAAGCGGACCUCAUAAAGUAUGUCGUAGUCCGGAUUGGAGUCUGCAACUCGACUCCAUGAAGUCGGAAUCGCUAGUAAUCGUAGAUCAGAAUGCUACGGUGAAUACGUUCCCGGGCCUUGUACACACCGCCCGUCACACCAUGGGAGUGGGUUGCAAAAGAAGUAGGUAGCUUAACCCUCGGGAGGGCGCUUACCACUUUGUGAUU
rnacentral:rRNA from 1 species